rnacentral:rRNA from 1 species
AGUGAACGCUGGCGGUAGGCCUAACACAUGCAAGUCGAACGGCAGCACAGUAAGAGUUUGCUCUUACGGGUGGCGAGUGGCGGACGGGUGAGGAAUACAUCGGAAUCUACUUUUUCGUGGGGGAUAACGUAGGGAAACUUACGCUAAUACCGCAUACGACCUACGGGUGAAAGCAGGGGAUCUUCGGACCUUGCGCGAUUGAAUGAGCCGAUGUCGGAGUAGCUAGUUGGCGGGGUAAAGGCCCACCAAGGCGACGAUCCGUAGCUGGUCUGAGAGGAUGAUCGGCCACCUUGGAACUGAGACACGGUCCAGACUCCUACGGGAGGCAGCAGUGGGGAAUAUUGGACAAUGGGCGCAAGCCUGAUCCAGCCAUACCGCGUGUGUGAAGAAGGCCUUCGGGUUGUAAAGCCCUUUUGUUGGGAAAGAACAGCUGCAGGUUGAUACCCCGCUGUUCUGACGGUACCGAAAGAAUAAGCACCGGCUAACUUCGUG